GUGACUAAAUCGAGCGUGUCUUCAUUGACCGCUCACCCUUCUCACCAUCCACAUACACCUGUGCACUGUUUAGCCUGAGCCGGUUUUCCGGUCCAGGUUAUCAUUUCAUACAAACUCUAGUCUUAUGAAUGUAAACGUUUAAUAACAUAAUA
rnacentral:misc_RNA from 1 species